GCAAGGAGUGGGAGAGGCACUACUGGCUGAGCUGCUGCUCAGUACAACUCGGAGAUAAGCAUGAUAAUCACUAGGUCCUCUGGCAUUUUGAAGGGCCAGGUGUUCUUGAUCCCUCCUCCUGCAGCUGUUCCACUUCAUGUAAAAUACUUCUCUCUGAGACCGGGAGAACACCAGAAUCAAGCAUUGCUUCACAGGCUGUUAGGACAAUCUCAUGGGAAAUGAGACAACUGGGCACUGGUAUCCAUUCCAGCCCAGGCAGCACCUGCUCAGCGCACAACUAUUUUGAUUCACCCUUCUGAAGCACCAUGCUCUCCCCAUGCAUUAUAAAUGGAGCCAAGAUGCCUGACUCCGGGCUUUACCCUACAAUCCUGGGGCUUAAAAGUUAGGAGGUACAACACCUGCACCCUUUCCUAGA